rnacentral:rRNA from 1 species
CAUUAUUGAAAUAAAUCUGAUGAGUUGCUGCUGGCUCUCUGUUAGAGGGCAUGUGCACACUUGUCAUCUUUAUAUCUCCACCUGUGCACCUUUUGUAGACCUGGAUAUCUCUCUGAAUGCUAGUCACUCAGGUUUGAGGAUUGAUCUUUAUGAUCUUUCCUUAUAUUUCUAGGCCUAUGUUUCUUCAUAUACCCAUGUAUGUCGUAGAAUGUAAUAAAGGCCUUUGUGCCUAUAACUUAUACAACUUUCAGCAACGGAUCUCUUGGCUCUCGCAUCGAUGAAGAACGCAGCGAAAUGCGAUAAGUAAUGUGAAUUGCAGAAUUCAGUGAAUCAUCGAAUCUUUGAACGCACCUUGCGCUCCUUGGUAUUCCGAGGAGCAUGCCUGUUUGAGUGUCAUUAAUAUAUCAAUCUCUUCAGCUUUUGCUUGUUGAGUGUUGGAUGUGGGGGUCUUUUGUUGGUCUUCUCAGGUCAGCUCCCCUGAAAUACAUUAGUGGAACAAUUUUGUGGACCGUUCAUUGGCGUGAUAACUAUCUACGCUAUUGACGUGAAGCAGUUCAGCUUUCUAACAGUCCAUUGACUUGGACAAGUUCUUAUUAAUGUGACCUCAAAU